rnacentral:lncRNA from 1 species
UCCUACCAGGAGGUCUCAGUCAUUUCCCCGUUGGUUCUCUCCCCAGGGGCCUAAGAGAGAAAGCAUUUCCUGGUCUCUUUGAGAAGUUUACCGUUGUGGACCGAUUUAUGGCCUGAACUAAACACAGAAGUCGUGUCACUCAAGUAAUGGAAAGGAGCCGCUUCCAAAAGUGAGAUCGAGGCCCACCCGCCACUGCCCCUUCCUCCGAGACUGCCCCCUCCCGAGCAACGUCCGGUCCACCGGGAUGUGACUGUUCCCGACCUACUUCCCGAGAGGCGUGGGACCCUCUGGACUUGCUAGCCACCCGCCAGCUCCCAGCUGGGUUCUGCAGAGGCAGCAGACGUGGUGGGUGCCAUUCUGUCUUUCCGUUCCUAGGUGGGGAGGAUGAUCACCACCCAGUGCAAGCUGGGAUUCCUCUGGGCAGCACUGAUUUGGUCUCCCUUACUAGAUGGCAAACUCUUAGAGGGGAGGACCACUGGAUCUCUUCAUCAAUACAUUCUCCCAAGGCCAAGCAGUUGGUGACUUAUGCUCGCUGGCCGGCCUCCGUAAAAUGAGGCCAUAAGUGCCAUAUCAAUCCACCAAUCAAUGGUAUUUGUUGAGCGCUUACUGUGCUUACUAGACUGGAAGCUCGUCCUCUAGACCGGAAGCUAAUUAUGAGCAGGGAACAUGGCUGCUAAUACUGUUCGAUCGAACUCUACCAAGCGCUUAAAACAACGCUCUCUGCACAUAGUCCGCAGUGGAAAGAGCACGGGCUUUGGAGUCAGGGCUCAUGAGUUCGAAUCCCAGCUCUGCCACUUGUCAGCUGUGUGACUGUGGGCAAGUCACUUAACUUCUCUGUGCCUCAGUUCCCUCAUCUGUAAAAUGGGGAUUAAGACUGUGAGCCCCACGUGGGACAACCUGAUUCCCCUGUGUUUACCCCAGCGCUUAGAACAGUGCUCUGCACAUAGUAAGCGCUUAACAAAUACCAACAUUAUUAUAGUAAGCACUCAGUAAAUACCAUUCAUUGAUUGACUGCAGAGCACUGUACUAAGAGUUUGGGAGAACAUGACAUAAGAGAGUUGAUAGUGCCAUUCCCUGCCCACAAGAUGCCUUGGGAUGCCUCGACGACUUGGAUCAUCGUAUGAAAUGAGAAAGGACAACUCGGGCGCUGAACGAAUGACUGAGGCUCCUGGGAAAUGGAUUUGUGAACAACUGACCGCAGGAGAAUUUUUAUCCUAACUGCAUUGCAAUCCCUGUUCAUGGGUUGUAGUUUCUCCAUCUGGGUCCGGGCAGCUUGAAUGGACGAAGAGUCGAGCGGAUGGCUGGUGAACAGAAGCUGGCCAAAUGAAAAACUUCAGAGCCCACGGGUCCAACUGGGUGACCCAGGCAGAGCAGAUCAAGCGGCUCUCCGACCGGCCCUUCUCCUGAAUUGACAGGGGCAUUGCCAUUUUAUAUAUAAUGCAGUUAGACCUGAUGAGAAAUGGGUUCAGGUCUUCCAAGUUAAUGAAGACUUCUCCUCAAUUCCCUUCCCUCUCCCAUCACCUCCCCCUUCCCUGCCCCCUCCCCCCCAGCCC